AGGGCCAUAUCAAGUUGAAACACUGGUUCCAGUACGACCACCGAAGUUAAGCAAUGUCGAGCCUGGUACAUAAAUGGGUGACCGCUUUGGAAUACCAGGUUCUGUAAG